rnacentral:misc_RNA from 1 species
GAAACGCGAUAAUUAGUGCGAAUUGCAGAAUUCAGUGAAUCAUCAAAUCUUUGAACGCAAGUUGCGCCUGCGGGAAACCCGUGGGCAUGCCUCUUUCAGUGUCGGUCAACCAUACCAACAAUCUCUGAUUGUGCUCGGUGUCGUGCGGCUUGUGCGCCGGCCACCUCGGUGGCCGCACACAUCCGUUAAAUCGGAAGCGCUCGUCGACUCGUGCGCGCUCGGUUUGCAAUGGCAGCCAUCUGCAGUGCUUGGACAGUCAAAUGUUUGAGUGUGGCGAUCUGUCGUGACAAACGCGCAACGCACGGGUCAUCAAGGCGGCGUCGACAGCACGCGCCCGGCAACGGGUGUGCAACCUCUCGAACAAUGACCUGAAAGUGGUAAGACUACCCGCUUGACUUAA